GACGAACCGUGCGAACGUUAUUCGGAAUCACUGGGCUUAAAGCGCGUGUAGGCGGGCCGGCACGUCGAUGGCUGAAAUCCCCCGGCUCAACCGGGGAAGUGGCCUCGAUACGACCGGCCUGGAGGGGGGUAGGGGGCGCCGGAACUUCCGGUGGAGCGGUGAAAUGCGUUGAGAUCGGAAGGAACGCCCGUGGCGAAAGCGGGCGCCUGGACCCCACCUGACGCUGAGACGCGAAAGCCAGGGGAGCGAACGGG
rnacentral:rRNA from 2 species